CAUAUUCAGGCACACAGAUUCUCCAUUUUCUCAUUCACAAAAAAAAACUCACACUCACUUACCAGUGCAUACACACUCAGACGCACAACAAUACACACACGGAUGCACGGGAAAGGGAAAACGGUGCAGAAAGAUGAAAAAUGGUGAAGGAAAACGUGAGGAAAAUAAGAGAAAAUGAAGAGAAUAAAUCAGUAAAAAUGGGACGAGGGAGAGUUAGAAAAUACCGAGGAAAACAGUGAAAAACCAAAAAAAAAUAUGUUUAGAUUUUUUUUCCAGCGAACCAAACGGACCCGAAUCGCCAAAAACACCAGCCAACGGCUGUCGCCCCUCUCCCAAAUCCCGUCGACCCCACCCCAAAAGCCGCCGGCACAGACCUCCCCCUCCCCUUUUCCGUCACCCCACUGCCGCUGGCAGCCACCGCAACGUCGAUUCCCCUUUUCUCUCCUUUUCCGGCCGGCAAAACCAUCGCCAGCCGUGCCGGAAACAGCUAUGUCAGGCCCACCCUCGCCGGAAAACGACAGGUAUCCGCCGAAAAUCCCGUCAGAUCUGCGUCGUCCCCUUCUCCCCUUUCCCCGGUGUCCAACAGCCCUCAUCGGCGAACCCCCAUGCCGGAAAACGCCUAAACAAUCGGUACCGUCUCACUCUCCCCUUUCCCAUCGCCGGCGACCACCCCUCUCUCCUUUUCUAUUGCUGACCAGUCGUCGUCCGCCACUGUUCCGGCGAAAUUCGUCGGUGAAUGGCGUCACCAGAUUUGCCAGUCCCAAAACUGACUUGGGACAUGAAUUUGUCCAUGUUGUUUUGAUUAGCUAUUUGGUUUCAUAAUUUUGGGUUUAAAAUCAGAUCUCGAAGAUUUUUAUAAUCUGUCUCAGUAUAUGUGAUUUUGAGUUUGAAUUAAUUUAAAUAGAAUAAUUUUUGAGGAUCAUAAUAAAUUAGGAUAAUGUAGCUAACUGGUGUAUUUUAUUUUUAU
rnacentral:lncRNA from 1 species